CAGGAGGCGAGUACUUGGAAUGCAGGCUGAGAGCUUGGCAAUCCAUUGUUCACUUGGGGGCCUUUUGCAAACUCUGUUCCUGGUGGUAUCAAAUCAUGGCAAUGCCCUGCUCAUUUUUCAAAAGGGUUCUUUCCCAAAUGAGGUUUUCUCACUGACUCGAUAACCAUUCCUUUUCAGACAGCUGUAUGCACGCUAUGGAGAGCAUGAACACUCUGCAUGUAUAUUUGUUCCUAAAGAGUCGGCUUCAUGUAGCCUGGGAUUUGAGCGAAAUGACUUUGUGAUAGUCUGCAGCUCAAAGUUUCACUGGAAGGAUGAUGCCUCCAGGUGGUUCUCACAAUGCAUCGUAAAGCAGGAGGCAUCCAUGGAUGUCCUGCGACUCAUCUCUCGGCUGGCUGGCUAGAGACUGGAGCACUUCACACACAGUGGUACGAGCGAGGGCUCCAUGAGCUCCUGAACCACGGUAGGGCUUUUGAGGGAGGC
rnacentral:lncRNA from 1 species